rnacentral:lncRNA from 1 species
UUUUUUUUUUUUGAGAUGGAGUAUUGCUCUGUUGCCCAUGCUGGAGUGCAGUGGCUUGAUCUUAGCUCACUGCAACCUCUGCCUUCCCAGUUCAAGUGAUUCUCCAGCCUCAGCCUCCUGAGUAGCAGGGAUUACAGGCACCCACCAUCAUGCCUGGCUAAUUUUUUGUAUUUUUGUAGAGAUGGGGUUUCACCAUGUUGUUGGCCAGGCUGGUUUUCAAUUCCUGACCUCAGGUGAUCUGCCUGCCCCUGCCUCCCAAAGUGCUGGGAUUACAGGCAUGCGCCACCUCACCCAUCUGAGUUAUGGGUCUUUUAUGAGGCAAGAGAAAAGGAGUCUUCUGUGGGUUCUGCCCAAAUGAGAGGGGUAAGUUCCCCACUAAGGGUGCUGCAUCUGUGCAUGCCUGGGGUUGGCCACAGUGACUCCAUGUUGGUUAUUACCCAUGAGUGCCUAAGCAAAAACUUGGAGAAAGGGGGGUAGGGGAGUGCUAAAACAACAAUGCUAAUGUCAUGUGUAUGAUAUUCUAAUAAGCUGGGUCAAGUUUAGGACAUCUGAGUUGAUUUAUUGCACCUGCACCUAAGUUGAAAAAAAAUCCCUUCUGAACAACAUCCUGGCAUAAGGAAGUUCUUAACCACAUUUCUUCCUGCUAGCUACAGGGGCAGUGCUGGUGCGGUCCUGUGGGUGUUUUUUCUCUCCCCAAACCCUCCCUCUCUAUCUGCCUCUGACUCCCUCCUCUCUCAGAGAUUUGUUUUCCUUUUAAAUAUCAGACAGUAAACAAAGAAUGAUGGGGCUCCAGUAGGAGAGAGCACAAUGUCUUCAGGUCUCUUCACAGCCUUGACCUCCAAAGAUUAGAUGUAGAGAGAAUAGAUUAAAGGCAAACUUCUUGUUUUCCUAUUUAUCUUUGGACCUAUUUGUUAGACUGAAACUGUGUGUUUUUCUCCUGUGGUGGGGGGCACUGUGUGAGUUUAAGCACCAAUCACAGGCCUCCACAUCUUCCUGCACUUCUGUUCCCAGAAGGAAGACCGUGAGUGUGAGUUGUCCAGAUCCUUGACAUUUUGAACAAAGAAUUGAACAAAAUGCACAAAGUAACAAAGGAACAAAACACAGGAGGAAGCAGCAAAAGUAGAAAUUUAUUAAAGUGAGAAAGCACUCACAGGGUGGGUGUUGGCUCAAGCAAAUGGCUCAAGGACCUGGUUACAAAGUUUUCUGGGUUUUAAGUACAGUUUUUGGGGUCCCUAUUGGCUACCCCUUAUUUGGAUGAAGGAUUUUGUCUGUGGCUAAUUAAAAACUGAGAGGAAUUGACAUUCUAUGCAGAUGAAGGGAUGGCCUGUGCUUAGCCUGUGGCCACUCCAAGGCACUCUCUCUUUACAUCUGAGGAGUGGUGGAAUGGGGAGCGUUGUAGGGAGAGUAGCCUUUGAUCCUUUGCCACUCCGGUGUGGGGGGAUGGGUUCUUUCUCUUUUGGUUUAGCUGUUGAAAGUUGGCCUUAACUGGUCUUAGGUUCCCUACCCCUAGACCUUGGGGUGUGUGUGUGUGUGUGUUUUUUUUUUUUUUUAGGAAGUCAGCACAAAUUGGCCUGAAGUUCCCUGCCUCCACACCCUAUUCUCCUACCUCACUUCUGAAUAACCCAAUACCAUCUUACAACAAAUCUAUUAAAUAAAGGGAAAAGAAAAUCAAUACUUAUAGGGUGCUGAGCAUUUGCAGGUUAUUUAUAAUCAAUCUGUCCUGGCAUCCUGUCUUUAAUGGGUAUAUACAUUAGUAAGCUAUAACUGCAUAACAAACAAUCUAAAAACAUACUAGCUCAUGAUUGAGUUGGUUAAAAAUUUAGGCUGGGCUCAGCUGGGCCAUUCUGCUGGGCUCAGUUUGGCUCCUUCAGGUGUGAGUCGUCAGCUGCUGGUGAAUUAGGUGGCUCUGCUUCUGGGAGUGAACUGUCUGUAAACUGAGGUACUUUGGCUUUUCCUUUUCUCAGCAUGCUAUUUUAUC